rnacentral:rRNA from 1 species
UACGUAGGGGGCUAGCGUUGUCCGGAAUCACUGGGCGUAAAGGGCGCGUAGGCGGCUUUAUAAGUCGGGGGUGAAAGCCUGUGGCUCAACCACAGAAUUGCCUUCGAUACUGUAGAGCUUGAGACCGGAAGAGGUAAGUGGAACUGCGAGUGUAGAGGUGAAAUUCGUAGAUAUUCGCAAGAACACCAGUGGCGAAGGCGGCUUACUGGUCCGGUUCUGACGCUGAGGCGCGAAAGCGUGGGGAGCAAACAGG